rnacentral:rRNA from 1 species
GGGGGGGGGGGGGGGGGGGGUGGGGAGGGGGGAGGGGAGCGGAAAGGCCCGGCUGGGGGGGGGGGCUCGAGUGGCGAACGGGUGAGUAACGCGUGAGGAACCUGCCCUUGACUUUGGGAUAACUUCAGGAAACUGGGGCUAAUACCGGAUAGGAGCUCCUGCUGCAUGGUGGGGGUUGGAAAGUUUCGGCGGCUGGGGAUGGACUCGCGGCUUAUCAGCUUGUUGGUGGGGUAGUGGCUUACCAAGGCUUUGACGGGUAGCCGGCCUGAGAGGGUGACCGGCCACAUUGGGACUGAGAUACGGCCCAGACUCCUACGGGAGGCAGCAGUGGGGAAUAUUGCACAAUGGGCGGAAGCCUGAUGCAGCAACGCCGCGUGCGGGAUGACGGCCUUCGGGUUGUAAACCGCUUUCGCCUGUGACGAAGCGUGAGUGACGGUAAUGGGUAAAGAAGCACCGGCUAACUACGUG